CCGGUGCACCAGUUGUUCCACCAGGAGCACAGCUGGGUAGCCGAGUUCGGAUAGGAUAAACGCUGAAAGCAUCUAAGCGUGAAACCGACCCCAAGAUGAGAUAUCCCAUCGAAAGAGUAAGACCCCACAAAGACUAAGUGGUUGAUAGGUCAGGAGUGGAAGUGCAGUAAUGCAUUAAGCGGACUGAUACUAAUAGGUCGAGGGCUUGACCAA
rnacentral:rRNA from 1 species